UAUUAAAUUUUUAUUCCAAUUAAUAAGUAGAAAUUAUAAAAUUAAAUAUUUGAAAUGAAAUUACAUUAUUGAUACUUCAAAAAAAAUUAUGUAAAUUUCAGAUGGAGUGUUUGUAGAUAAAUGUAUUCAAAGAAACAACGUAAAUGUUUAUUUUAUAUUCAAACUUUCCAAAUUGCAACAACAUUCACCCCCUAAACACGAGCCACCUUUUGGUUUGCCCAAUGAUGCUUUACAAAAAUGGUCACACUGUUCUGGUGAAGUUGGACAAAAAUUUGAUGCGAAGCAUAAUUUUCCGUUUGCUCCUGAAACUAUCAUUUCAAUUACAUUAGAAAUAAUAUAUAAAAUUGUGUUCAUAAGAUUGUGUUUUCUUAAACAAAAACAUAUUCCUUUUAGUAUACUCGAUAGUAUCCUACCAUCCAAAUGCUUUAAUAAAAAACAUAACAAUGAAUAUGAAGCAAUAAAAAUUGAGUUUUAUAAUUAGAUUAUUACCGGCAACCAUGCCUGAAGCAAUGCAAAUGAUCAAAAUGGNU
rnacentral:lncRNA from 1 species